rnacentral:rRNA from 1 species
GACGAACGCUGGCGGCGUGCUUAACACAUGCAAGUCGAACGGAAAGGCCCUGCUUUUGUGGGGUGCUCGAGUGGCGAACGGGUGAGUAACACGUGAGUAACCUGCCCUUGACUUUGGGAUAACUUCAGGAAACUGGGGCUAAUACCGGAUAGGAGCUCCUGCUGCAUGGUGAGGGUUGGAAAGUUUCGGCGGUUGGGGAUGGGCUCGCGGCUUAUCAGCUUGUUGGUGGGGUAGUGGCUUACCAAGGCUUUGACGGGUAGCCGGCCUGAGAGGGUGACCGGCCACAUUGGGACUGAGAUACGGCCCAGACUCCUACGGGAGGCAGCAGUGGGGAAUAUUGCACAAUGGGCGGAAGCCUGAUGCAGCAACGCCGCGUGCGGGAUGACGGCCUUCGGGUUGUAAACCGCUUUCGCCUGUGACGAAGCGUGAGUGACGGUAAUGGGUAAAGAAGCACCGGCUAACUACGUG